rnacentral:ncRNA from 2 species
CGUCCAUUAACGGUGAGCGGUGCCGCAAAGUCAACGGAUCUUGGGUUUUGCGGAAACAGGGAACUUCGGUGAAAUUCCGAGACGGCCCGGCCGCUGUGAUGGAUGGGGUUCGCGGAUUCGGUUGCUUUUUGUGACGUUUGCGUGAACCGUCAACUUCUCACUCUUUCGUGCCAUUGUUCUUUAAAUCGUGUUUGACGCCAUCGGGCGUCGAUCGAUUUGGGAAUGAGAAGGCGGAAGAAGUUGGCGUGCAUUCAGAGUCAGAAGACCUACCGCGUCACCGGAUGCUUU